ensembl:piRNA 21ur-4952 ncRNA
UGACAAAAGUAUAAUGUAAAG